AAUGCUAAAAGAUGACCAAGAAGCUUUUACACAAGUCAGGCUGUUAGACAACAAUCCCUUGUAAUACAGAGAAAGACUUGGAACACUCUAUAAUGGAAUAGCUUAGAUUUGCAAACAUCCGUAAACAAAG